GCCUUCAUGGUGUAGUGGUCAGCACGCUCGACGCGUAACCGAGAGGUCCGUGGUUCGAUUCCCGGAGAAGGCG
rnacentral:tRNA from 1 species